rnacentral:lncRNA from 1 species
CCACAUACAAACACAGCGUAGUACAGCUGGAAUAUAGAGAAGAGCUUGAGGACCCAUGAGCAACUAUCCCAGUACUCUUGGAGGCUCUGCCACCACAGUUUGAGAAACUCCGCAUUCAAAGUUAAAAACUGUCACCUGAAUAGUUAAUAACAUCAAAGAUUGUGAAAGCAAGUAUAAAUAACACAGAGAUUAAAAUAAUGAGGCAGGAUCAGAAACACUGACCUGCUGUGUAGGAAGUCCAACUGCCCUGAGGCCACAAGGCUGGAGAGACCAUGUAUGGAUAGGUUCUCUGAUCAACAGUCCCUAUCAAGCCCAGCCUUCUAGCCAUGUCCACCAACGUGCCUGACAUGUGGGUGAAGCCAUCACAGACCCUUCAGACCAGCCCAUCUGCCAGCUGAAUACUUCAAACAAGAAGGAAGAUCUCCCAUAGAUUUUCAAGGUGCUGAGAAAACAGCUUCUAGACAUAUCUCAAAAGCCAAGUUUCUGAGACGUAAUCAGAAAGUUGUGGCGGAAGGAAAUUUGAACCAGAAGACUGCAGUCCUGUCUAUGAACAUUAAACCUGUGUGGCUUAAGAAAUGAGUCUAACCUCUCUGAGCCUCAGUUUGUUCACCUAAAAGAUGGAGAUGAGAGCGCAUUUGUCUCAUUCUCAGGGGUUAUGGUGGCCAUCCAGACAUAAAGAAAUUAGAACGUUCAUUCACCUGCAGAUGCUCACACAUUCCUACAGGAUGACUGAAACCCACAGCGAACAAUCCUCAUGGAAUACAGCUCAGCUCAUUCUGAAGAAUAAG